AACUGGGCUUCAGGGGCUCCGUC
rnacentral:siRNA from 1 species